UACGGAGGGUGCAAGCGUUAUCCGGAUUCACUGGGUUUAAAGGGUGCGUAGGCGGCCAACUAAGUCAGACGUGAAAUCCCUCGGCUUAACCGGGGAACUGCAUCUGAUACUGGAUGGCUUGAGUUCGGGAGAGGGAUGCGGAAUUCCAGGUGUAGCGGUGAAAUGCGUAGAUAUCUGGAGGAACACCGGUGGCGAAGGCGGCAUCCUGGACCGACACUGACGCUGAGGAGCGAAAGCCAGGGGAGCAAACGGG
rnacentral:rRNA from 1 species